GAUGAAGAACGCAGCGAAAUGCGAUAAGUAAUGUGAAUUGCAGAAUUCAGUGAAUCAUCGAAUCUUUGAACGCACAUUGCGCCCGCUAGUAUUCUGGCGGGCAUGCCUGUCCGAGCGUCAUUUCAACCCUCAAGCCCCCGGGCUUGGUGUUGGGGAUCGGCGAGCCUCCGCGCCCGCCGUCCCCUAAACCUAGUGGCGGUCUCGCUGUAGCUUCCUCUGCGUAGUAGCACACCUCGCACUGGGAAACAGCGCGGCCACGCCGUUAAACCCCCAACUUCUGAACGUUUGACCUCGGAUCAGGUAGGAAUACCCGCUGAACUUAAGCAUAUCAAUAAGCGGAGGA
rnacentral:misc_RNA from 1 species